CACCUACGGGAGGCUGCAGUGGGGAAUAUUGGACAAUGGGCGCAAGCCUGAUCCAGCAAUGCCGCGUGAGUGAUGAAGGCCUUAGGGUUGUAAAGCUCUUUCACCCACGACGAUGAUGACGGUAGUGGGAGAAGAAGCCCCGGCUAACUUCGUGCCAGCAGCCGCGGUAAUACGAAGGGGGCUAGCGUUGUUCGGAAUGACUGGGCGUAAAGGGCGCGUAGGCGGUUGACCAAGUUGGGGGUGAAAGCCCGGGGCUUAACCUCGGAAUUGCCUCCAAAACUGGUCGGCUUGAGUGUGGAAGAGGGUUGUGGAAUUCCCAGUGUAGAGGUGAAAUUCGUAGAUAUUGGGAAGAACACCAGUGGCGAAGGCGACAACCUGGUCCAUUACUGACGCUGAGGCGCGACAGCGUGGGGAGCAAACAGGAUUAGAUACCCUGGUAGUCCACGCCGUAAACGAUGAGUGCUGGAUGUUGGACGGUUGCCGUUCAGUGUCGAAGUUAACGCGAUAAGCA
rnacentral:rRNA from 1 species